CCUACGGGCGGCUGCAGUGAGGAAUAUUGGUCAAUGGACGAGAGUCUGAACCAGCCAAGUAGCGUGAAGGAUGACUGCCCUAUGGGUUGUAAACUUCUUUUAUAUGGGAAUAAAAUGUUCCACGUGUGGGAUUUUGUAUGUACCAUAUGAAUAAGGAUCGGCUAACUCCGUGCCAGCAGCCGCGGUAAUACGGAGGAUCCGAGCGUUAUCCGGAUUUAUUGGGUUUAAAGGGAGCGUAGGUGGAUUGUUAAGUCAGUUGUGAAAGUUUGCGGCUAAACCGUAAAAUUGCAGUUGAAACUGGCAGUCUUGAGUACAGUAGAGGUGGGCGGAAUUCGUGGUGUAGCGGUGAAAUGCUUAGAUAUCACGAAGAACUCCGAUUGCGAAGGCAGUUCACUGGACUGCAACUGACACUGAGGCUCGAAAGUGUGGGUAUCAAACAGGAUUAGAUACCCUAGUAGUC
rnacentral:rRNA from 1 species